UACGUAGGGGGCUAGCGUUGUCCGGAAUCAUUGGGCGUAAAGCGCGCGUAGGCGGCCAGAUAAGUCCGGUGUGAAAGUCACAGGCUCAACCUGUGAAUGCCGCUGGAAACUGUCUGGCUAGAGUCCGGAAGGGGCGAGUGGAAUUCCUGGUGUAGCGGCGAAAUGCGCAGAUAUCAGGAGGAACACCAAUGGCGAAGGCAGCUCGCUGGAACGGUACUGACGCUGAGGCGCGAAAGCGUGGGGAGCAAACAGG
rnacentral:rRNA from 1 species